GGAAAGGUCACUAAUUCAAUCAGCAAUGUGCUCAUCAAGAGGUAGAAACUGCAAAUGUUAAGCCUAAGUAGAAUGGAGCAAUGCUGUGGAGAAAAAGAACUCUAAGAAAAAAGGUGCUUUGGUGAAAUAUAGCACCUUAUUGUAACUCCAAGUGUUUCACCUACAAUUAAUUACUUUGAAGAGCAAACCAGGUUAACAGCCAUUCUGUACACAGCAAGGUCCCACAAACUAUUCUGCUGGAUCUCCAUUAUAUUGGCAUUGCAGUUGCAGCAUUAAAGGAAGAUCGCAGCAGGACCAGAAAUACCAAUGGGAGGCCACCACAAUGAUGGCCAUUAGCCUGAGGAUACAG